GAUUGGUAAUGGGACUGGUGGAUAAGGGAAGGGUUGGUAAUGGGACUGGUGGAUAGGGGAAGGAUUGGUAAUGGGACUGGUGGAUAGGGGAAGGAUUGGUAAUGGGACUGGUGGAUAGGGGAAGGAUUGGUAAUGGGACUGGUGGAUAGGGGAAGGAUUGGUAAUGGGACUGGUGGAUAGGGGAGGGGUUGGUAAUGGGACUGGUGGAUAGGGGAAGGGUUGGUAAUGGGACUGGUGGAUAGGGGAAGGGUUGGUAAUGGGACUGGUGGAUAGGGGAAGGGUUGGUAAUGGGACUGGUGGAUAGGGGAAGGGUUGGUAAUGGGACUGGUGGAUAGGGGAAGGGUUGGUAAUGGGACUGGUGGAUAGGGGAAGGGUUGGUAAUGGGACUGGUGGAUAGGGGAAGGAUUGGUAAUGGGACUGGUGGAUAGUGGAAGGAUUGGUAAUGGGACUGGUGGAUAGGGGAAGGGUUGGUAAUGGGACUGGUGGAUAGGGGAAGGAUUGGUAAUGGGACUGGUUGAUAGGGGAAGGGAUGGUAAUGGGACUGGUGGAUAGGGGAAGGAUUGGUAAUGGGACUGGUGGAUAGGGGAAGGAUUGGUAAUGGGACUGGUGGAUAGGGGAAGGGUUGGUAAUGGG